rnacentral:rRNA from 1 species
AUUGAACGCUGGCGGCAUGCUUUACACAUGCAAGUCGAACGGCAGCAUGGGUGCUUGCACCUGAUGGCGAGUGGCGAACGGGUGAGUAAUGUAUCGGAACAUAUCCGCAAGUGGGGGAUAACGUAGCGAAAGUUACGCUAAUACCGCAUAUUCCCUGAGGGGGAAAGGAGGGGAUCCGCAAGGACCUUUCGCUUACGGAGUGGCCGAUAUCAGGUUAGCUAGUUGGUGAGGUAAAGGCUCACCAAGGCGACGAUCUGUAGCGGGUCUGAGAGGAUGAUCCGCCCAACUGGGACUGAGACACGGCCCAGACUCCUACGGGAGGCAGCAGUGGGGAAUUUUGGACAAUGGGGGCAACCCUGAUCCAGCCAUGCCGCGUGAGUGAAGAAGGCCUUCGGGUUGUAAAGCUCUUUCAGCCGGAAAAAAAUCGCAUCACCUAAUACGUGGUGUGGAUGAUGGUACCGGAAGAAGAAGCACCGGCUAACUACGUGCCAGCAGCCGCCGUAA